rnacentral:rRNA from 1 species
GACGAACGCUGGCGGCGUGCCUAAUACAUGCAAGUAGAACGCUGAAGGAGGAGCUUGCUCUUCUGGAUGAGUUGCGAACGGGUGAGUAACGCGUAGGUAACCUGCCUGGUAGCGGGGGAUAACUAUUGGAAACGAUAGCUAAUACCGCAUAACAGUAGAUGUUGCAUGACAUUUGCUUAAAAGGUGCAAUUGCACCACUACCAGAUGGACCUGCGUUGUAUUAGCUAGUUGGUGGGGUAACGGCUCACCAAGGCGACGAUACAUAGCCGACCUGAGAGGGUGAUCGGCCACACUGGGACUGAGACACGGCCCAGACUCCUACGGGAGGCAGCAGUAGGGAAUCUUCGGCAAUGGACGGAAGUCUGACCGAGCAACGCCGCGUGAGUGAAGAAGGUUUUCGGAUCGUAAAGCUCUGUUGUAAGAGAAGAACGAGUGUGAGAGUGGUAAGUUCACACUGUGACGGUAUCUUACCAGAAAGGGACGGCUAACUACGUG